AGGAUGAACGCUGGCGGCGUGCUUAACACAUGCAAGUCGAACGAUGAAGCCGGAGCUUGCUCUGGUGGAUUAGUGGCGAACGGGUGAGUAACACGUGAGUAACCUGCCCUUGACUCUGGGAUAAGCACUGGAAACGGUGUCUAAUACCGGAUACGAGCUUUAGCCGCAUGGCUAGGAGCUGGAAAGAAUUUCGGCAAGGAUGGACUCGCGGCCUAAUCAGGUAGUUGGUGAGGUAACGGCCCACCAAGCCUACGACGGGUAGCCGGCCUGAGAGGACGACCAGCCACACUGGGACUGAGACACGGCCCAGACUCCUACGGGAGGCAGCAGUGGGGAAUUUGGACGAAGUGGGGGAAACCCUGGAUCCGAGCCAUCCCGCGUGUGCGAUGGAAGGUCCGUUCGGGUUAGUAAAGCUAACGUUU
rnacentral:rRNA from 1 species